rnacentral:rRNA from 1 species
UGCACGUCGCCCGAUGUACCACUUCGGUGGGGAUAGUGGCGAACGGGUGAGUAACACGUGGGCAAUCUGCCCUGCACUCUGGGACAAGCCCUGGAAACGGGGUCUAAUACCGGAUACUGAUCCUCGCAGGCAUCUGCGAGGUUCGAAAGCUCCGGCGGUGCAGGAUGAGCCCGCGGCCUAUCAGCUAGUUGGUGAGGUAACGGCUCACCAAGGCGACGACGGGUAGCCGGCCUGAGAGGGCGACCGGCCACACUGGGACUGAGACACGGCCCAGACUCCUACGGGAGGCAGCAGUGGGGAAUAUUGCACAAUGGGCGAAAGCCUGAUGCAGCGACGCCGCGUGAGGGAUGACGGCCUUCGGGUUGUAAACCUCUUUCAGCAGGGAAGAAGCGAAAGUGACGGUACCUGCAGAAGAAGCGCCGGCUAACUACGUGCCAGCAGCCGCGGUAAUACGUAGGGCGCAAGCGUUGUCCGGAAUUAUUGGGCGUAAAGAGCUCGUAGGCGGCUUGUCACGUCGGUUGUGAAAGCCCGGGGCUUAACCCCGGGUC